AUUGAACGCUGGCGGCAUGCCUUACACAUGCAAGUCGAACGGUAACAGGCCGCAAGGUGCUGACGAGUGGCGAACGGGUGAGUAAUGCAUCGGAACGUGCCCAGUAGUGGGGGAUAGCCCGGCGAAAGCCGGAUUAAUACCGCAUACGACCUGAGGGUGAAAGGGGGGGAUCGCAAGACCUCUCGCUAUUGGAGCGGCCGAUGUCAGAUUAGCUAGUUGGUGGGGUAAAGGCCUACCAAGGCAACGAUCUGUAGUUGGUCUGAGAGGACGACCAGCCACACUGGGACUGAGACACGGCCCAGACUCCUACGGGAGGCAGCAGUGGGGAAUUUUGGACAAUGGGCGCAAGCCUGAUCCAGCAAUGCCGCGUGCAGGAAGAAGGCCUUCGGGUUGUAAACUGCUUUUGUCAGGGAAGAAAUCCUCUGGGUUAAUACCCCGGGGGGAUGACGGUACCUGAAGAAUAAGCACCGGCUAACUACGUGCCAGCCGCCGCCGUAAUAC
rnacentral:rRNA from 1 species